rnacentral:rRNA from 1 species
AGAGAGAGACAUGCGCGCAUAUCAAUAAGCGGAGGAAAAGAAACUAACAAGGAUUCCCUUAGUAACGGCGAGUGAAGCGGGAAGAGCUCAAAUUUGAAAUCUUCAAGGUUCUACCUUGACGAAUUGUAGUUUAUAGAAGUGUUUUCUGUUAGUGGAGUGGCAAAAGUUCUUUGGAAUAGGACAUCAUAGAGGGUGAGAAUCCCGUAUUUGGUCAUUCCUCCUAGCGUUGUGAUACACUUUCAACGAGUCGGAUUGUUUGGGAAUGCAGUCCAAAAUGGGUGGUAAAUUUCAUCUAAAGCUAAAUAUUGGCGAGAGACCGAUAGCGAACAAGUACCGUGAGGGAAAGAUGAAAAGAACUUUGAAAAGAGAGUUAAACAGUACGUGAAAUUGUCAAAAGGGAAGCGUUUGACACCAGUGUUGUUUUUCCGAAAAUCAAUUACGAAUGUUUUGUUUUUAAGAAGUUAUGACUUCAUCGGCUUGCUCCUUUCUUUAUGAAACUUUCUUAAUGCACUUUUCGGUUAACAAGUCAACAUCAAUUUCUUUUGUUGUAAAAGGGUAUGAGGAAGGUGGCUUUCUUUUCGGAGAAAGUGUUUAUAGCCUUGUGCCUCUGCAAUCGGAGAGAUUGAGGUCUGCAGCGUAGAUCCUUCGGGGUUAGAUACGUUUGUGCUAAGUUAUAGCUUUUCAUAGACAACUUGUUGACUAUGUUUAGUCUUGUAGCUUACUCGCUGACGCUAUUUUACCUACGCUUAGGAUGUUGAUAGUCACAGCGUGUAC